GAUGAACGCUGGCGGCGUGCUUAACACAUGCAAGUCGAACGGUGAAGCAGAGCUUGCUCUGUGGAUCAGUGGCGAACGGGUGAGUAACACGUGAGCAACCUGCCCCUGACUCUGGGAUAAGCGCUGGAAACGGCGUCUAAUACUGGAUAUGAGCUGCGACCGCAUGGUCAGCAGUUGGAAAGAUUUUUCGGUCUGGGAUGGGCUCACGGCCUAUCAGCUUGUUGGUGAGGUAAUGGCUCACCAAGGCGUCGACGGGUAGCCGGCCUGAGAGGGUGACCGGCCACACUGGGACUGAGACACGGCCCAGACUCCUACGGGAGGCAGCAGUGGGGAAUAUUGCACAAUGGGCGAAAGCCUGAUGCAGCAACGCCGCGUGAGGGAUGACGGCCUUCGGGUUGUAAACCUCUUUUAGCAGGGAAGAAGCGAAAGUGACGGUACCUGCAGAAAAAGCGCCGGCUAACUUCGUG
rnacentral:rRNA from 1 species